GAAAACAGCUGAAGAGAGCAUGUGAAAUUGCUGUGAUGAAUAGCAGAAGAGGGGGAGGCUUCUUGCAGUGAGAGAGAUCUAAGCAGCACUUCAGACCAGGAGGCAAACUGAGAAAAAACUUUUUUGGAUGUGGCCAGCACCAAGGCAUCACUUCUCUGGAUUACAAUAACGCGGGCCAGUGGACUUCUGCUUUAAGAAAACAGACUCUAGAGAUGGGAAGCAGCGUGAAAAGAGAUCCUCAUAAACAGCAGAAUAAUCCUGCCCCGCAGUCCUUGCAGGAUGU